GACGAACGCUGGCGGCGCGCUUAACACAUGCAAGUCGAACGGAAAGGCCUGCUUUCCCUUGUGGAUUGCGGGUACUCGAGUGGCGAACGGGUGAGUAACACGUGAGUGAUCUGCCCCCAACUUGGGUAUAAGCCUGGGAAACUGGGUCUAAUUCCCGAUAGGACUGCAGGGUGGUGCCUGUGGUGGAAAACGAUUUUCUAGUGGUUGGGGAUGAGCUCGCGGCCUAUCAGCUUGUUGGUGGGGUAAUGGCCUACCAAGGCGGCGACGGGUAGCCGGCCUGGGAGGGUGGACGGCCACAUUGGGACUGAGAUACGGCCCAGACUCCUACGGGAGGCAGCAGUGGGGAGUAUUGCGCAAUGGGCGGAAGCCUGAUGCAGCGACGCCGCGUGGGGGAUGACGGCCUUCGGGUUGUAAACUCCUUUCGACCGCGAGGAAGCCACCUGGUUGGAAGGGUGGUGACGGUAGUGGUAGAAGAAGCACCGGCUAACUACGUG
rnacentral:rRNA from 1 species